rnacentral:piRNA from 1 species
UGCACGUAUGCAAUGGGUUCUUUUAUGGA